AGCAUUAUGGGUAUGUAGAAGGAAAUUUCGAAUACGUAGGAAUAAGGAUGCAAUUUUGGACGGAGAGAAUUUAUUAUUCGAGUAAAAAUUUGGAAUGAAAAUCAUACCGGAUAGAAUAAGGAAAAUACUAAAUAAAAAAAAGCAGAACAAAAACUAAAGAUAAUUGUGCGUAAACUACUUGUUCGCUCGAAGAAAAUUCAAGAUUCAAACAAAAAGAGUUCUUUUGUAAUGACACAUGCAAUUUUGGAAGUUUUCACAAUAGAGUUGACAUUCACGAUUGAAAAGGAAUGACUUUGCACUCCCGACCCACCGGUUGCCAAGUGGAUAAAACUACUGAACCCUAGUAGUUGGUCGUGGGUUCGAGCCUCACCAGCGAGGCUGAUCACGAGGCUGAGUUUUUCGGGUUUUUUUCACUCGUUUAGCCCAAAUAGAAACCACAUCCUCCAGGGAUGCCUCUCCUCUUGGCAGAUCGCCCAUAUUGCCGCAUCCCACUAAACCAAAAUUUGCACUUUGGUGUCAUUUUAGAAAACUACCAAAUAUAAUAUUGGAGUCUCAAAAUAAUUACUGUUAUCUCGUCGGUUUGACACGAACUUUUUUCAAAAACUCUAAAAACGAAAAAUAUAAGCAAUCUUAAUGCUGCAAUGUGCAAUGAUUAAAUAUUGCCAGGUAAAAUAUGUUUUAUCUAUUAAUUCUAGGAACAGAUAAUCAGUAGAGAUAAAAGUGUGAUACAAAUAUUAUUUAUUUAUCUUUAAUCUUAAGUUAAAAGGUUACUAAUAUGUGACAAUUUUACUGUUUUAAUAUUAGUAUUAUAGAGUUUAAUUACAGAAGAUUCUUUGACAAUUUUUACCUUUUAUGUAGAAAUGUUAUUGUUUUGAUACUGUUGCCUAUUUAAUAACACUUAAAAUUUGUUAUAUAAGUUAUUUUUUUACAUAUAAAUUUACUAAAUACUUCGUAUAUUAAAAUAUUAACAUGUUUUACGUAACAAUAACUGGUAACUUUAUUCACGUUUAACUAGAAUUGGGGUUCUCACCUACAGAACAAAAACAAAACUUUCUGCUGUUAUUUUAUAAGGUUAAAGAGAAUUAAUAAUAAAUUAAAUAAGUAAAUAUUGACAAUAAGACUAAAUGAAUUUCAUACGGAGAUGGCACCAUUCAUCAGUAUAAUUUUUUAUUUCUCCAAACACGGUUGACUAAUCGUGUGUUUGUUCGUAUAUCUUUGUUAAUAAAAUACCACAAUCAAUAAAUUACAAUAUAAAAACACUAUCUACAGUAAAAUCUGCCAAAAACGGAACCCGAAUAAAGCGGAAACUUUCCUAAACGAAAAAAAUAUUCGGUACCGUUUGAGUCCGUUUUACACAGGUUUUACUGUAUAUUAAAUUUAUUAUUAAAACAUGCAUUUAUAAGGGCUAUUUUUAUUAUUUGUAUAGUCGUAAAUAGUAUUGAUUUAUAAUAAGU
rnacentral:lncRNA from 1 species